UUUCAAGGUCUGCUCCCUGGGCUGUUCCCUGCAUCACUUGUGCCUCUGUCACUGCUGUGGGACCAGGGGAGCUGGGUGCCUCACAAGGGCUGGACACUUCCAAAGGGAAAUAGGCCUUGCUUAAGCAAAGUACUUUUGAAGAUUUGUCAUCUUUUGGGUAGAAAAUUUAAUUCGGGAAAAAGAAGAAAAUACAACAUCUAUCCACAUUGCAGCGUUGGAGUUGUACCAGGAAUGAAUCUGGACCAGCAGAUUUAUUGACCAAAACACAACAGAAGAAAUUGUUGACUUCAAUCUUUCUGCACUGAUUGAGCCACAGAACAGACUGCAGUUUUAAUGAAUAGACUGCAGUGGAAAUUUUACAGUAUUGUGCAUUCAUGUAUGGUUUAAUGGAUUCAGGCCAAUACUAAAAAGAAAGUCAGCACUCAAAUCUUCAGAGAAACUGUCACGCCAUAAAAUCUGCCUUCUUCCCACUCAGAGAUCAAAGAUUCGACUUGCCCUGGUGAGGAGGGGAUGAAGGACUGCUUUGUCUGCUGAGAGAAUUUCAACUUGGCUAUGACAGCAGAAGUGGUGGAACACCUGCCUGAACUAACCUUUAAAAACAGAAAUAAAGGACGAAGAUGGUCAACCUCUCAAGUGUUACAGAAAUGUGAAGUGACUUGAAUUCAAAACUACUUAGAUGUGUAAUGUAGCAACACAAGCUUUAAAUGCUUAUUUCUUCAAACAAUAGGAUCCAAUAAAUUAUACAGACCAGUUACUGAGGGAUGCACAUCUACAUCAGUCCCUGCAAGUUUAUGUUCCAGAAAACUGGAAACAAUCCUUUCCUACUUUUCCAGACUGUGAGUUUGUGAAUGCAGUGCAACUUUUUGUACAGACAGAUUUUUUUGUUUUCAUUAUUCAUUUAAUCAUUUAUUUA